GGGGUUGUAGCUCAUUGGUAGAGCACUUGCCUUGCAUGCAUGAGGCCCUGGGUUCAAUUCUCAGCACCA
rnacentral:tRNA from 1 species